rnacentral:lncRNA from 1 species
GGCCAAGUGAGAAAUGCAUGAAUUCUAACCCAAAACUCCUGAGUUUCUGCCACAUGAAUUGCUGUUUCAGAAACUAGUUAUGAAUCAUUUGCAGCCCGACAUCAACUGAAAGACCAGUUAACUUAGUCCUUUAUCUGGAGUCUCCCAAUUCUAAUGUUUUCUUUUCUUUUUUUUUUUAAGAUUUUAUUUAUUUAUUUAUAGAGACACAGAGAGAGAAUGAGAGGCAGAGACACGGCAGAGGGAGAAGCAGGCUCCAUGCAGGGAGCCCAACGUGGGACUCGAUCCAGAGUCUCCAGGAUCACUCCCCGGGCUGCAGGAAGCGCUAAACCACUGCAUCACCGGGGCUGCCCUGGAGUCUCCCAAUUCUAAAUCAAUAAUUUAUGAGAUCCGCAUGCAACUAAGUUAUGUGAACCUGAUGCUCUGCCUCACAGCAAAGCCUUCACAGUGUUCUCAUUUAAGCUUUGGAGGUGUUGACUCCAUGGAUCUGGGUGGAACAGGAUUCUCAGACUUCAGGCAGCCCCUCAUUCUCCAGGACUUCGCAGGAGGCUUCCUGAUUUCAGCUGGAUUUGAACCAGGAGGCUGGAGAAGCUGGGAGCUGCCCUGGAUCCUAAGGAUGAAGCUUGCACAGAGAAAGAGUGUUUCCCGAACAGGAAGUGCUGCUACAGAAGAGAGGCAUCCCUGUUGGCGCUGAUUCAUUUUCAUUUGCAUUCUCAAACUCUUCAAUUAGAAAUGCACCGUGAUCCAGCAGACAGUUUUCCUUCCCUCCGCCACAGUGCCGCGUCGCGGUGUGUGCGAGCUUUAGGGGCCCUGUCUGCCUCUGAAUGUCUCAUUUAUAAAAUGAAAAUCCUCUUGGUCUUGAUGCACAUUGGAAUUUUUAUGAACUUCUGCAAAGAGGCUGGCUUGCUAUUUUUUUUUUCAUUUUUGUAAAGUCAGUAUUGUUUUUUAGUGACUUUUUUGUGGGUGGACUUAAAGUUGCAUUUGUUUUCCUUUUUUUUUUUUCAUUUUUAACCAGUGCGUAGGGGAUAUGGCCUGGGCAUCCAACACAGUUUAGGGGCCCUUGGGUGACAAAGUUAAUGGUGAGAUCUCCUUCUCCCGGAAAAUUGACACUGGGGUGAUACUGUGAACUCACAUAUGCUCACUCCCCUUAGCCCAUGUCCCUGGCAGCCACUGAUCCAUCCAUGCUCCAAGUCUGACAUUUUUAGACUAUUACAUAAAUGGUAUCUUUGUGUUUUUGACUCUAGUUUGUGGUUAUGCCUGUUUUCCCAUUUAUGCCCACUUAUUUUCAAACUAUUCUUAACCCUACUUUUACA